CCCAAAUAGCCAAAACGCUCUCUCCUCCACAGAGGCUUUGAGGAGCUACUGUAUUAAAAAUAUAUGCGCUAGACGGUAAUGUUACAGAGUUAUGCGCUAGACGGUAAUAGGGACCUUAAGCAAACAGGACGGCAACGCAACGACAACGGCUGUUCACACAAUGAUAUUCCUGAUCUCGCACAAAAGAAUUGAAUAAUUAAAAGCCCCACGGGAGUUAGAGACGUUGUGUUAGGGCUUUUUACAACAGCAAACCGGGGAUUUUCACGUCUUGUGUACAACGCAAACAUGUCAAGAUGCGACAAGUGAAACUACAAAUUUGCUCAGCAGAAGCGUUUUUAACCAUAAAGCCUUUGUUUUAAUCUGUUCAAACUGAACUCAAUUAAUUUAUACAUGCAGUGGAUAAUACACAACAACUCUUCAUCGCAAUAAUUU